AUUCCCUUGGUCUUGGCAGAAUUAAGUCACACAAAUAAAACACAGCGUUAUCACAAUGCUCAGUGGAUCUCAGUGGGAUAAAAAAGGAACUUUGCUAUAUUGAAGAUGACUCCUUUUAUGUAAUCAGAGACUGCAGGAUGAAGUCGGAGAGAGAAGCCACACAUGAACUGGGAGUGAAAAUCCUUCAGCUGAGCAGUGGCCCAUUGUCCAAACAGCCUGUCUCACACUGCCAGGAUGCUGUGAAGGGUCCAUUGUGUUUGUCACUAUCUGUCUACACCUGUCAGACAUAUUGUCUUUCAUUCUGAAGUUCCAGCAUCAAGAAUACAAAGUGGCACCUGCAAACAUCCAUCCAUCCAUCCAUCCAUCCAUUCAUCCAUCCAUCCAUCCAUGGGCUACAUCUUCAUCCCUGAAGUUUAGCAGCCACUGGACAAGAGGCGGGUGAGAGCGUGGAUAGGUCGCCGGUCUAUCGCAAGGUCUCGGAGAGAAACACAGGGAAACAGAAGAGCUUCUGCAUCAGAGUGUAAACAAAGAUUUUACGUUCAGUUUGACAAAUGUCCCGGCAGCCAUCGCAUUCCUGUAAGGACAAAGUCAGUGUGGGGUGAGACAAAAACAAAAAAGGCAAAGUGACACACAAA